GUAAGACGCUAAUUACUGCCUUAUUCUCUUAUGAGAGAGAGAUUCCACCACCAUCUUCUUCUUCAUCUUUUUGUUCUUUAAGAUCAAGGGAUAUUAAAAGUUAUUACUCUUGAUUUUACUUGUAGAGAAAGUGUUCUCUGCAUUUGUUAUACACAAUACUCAUUUGCUAUCCCAAAGUUUGAACUAGCCACAUCCUUUUGCUCUAAUGGUUGAUUAGAGAGAGAGCUCUUGGAUUGUGGUUCAAGUCAAAGGUUGGGAGAUUGUAAUCACGGCAGUUUGUGUGGAUAGACUAAAGGGUCAAUAUUUUGGGGCUUCUGAUUUGUUUAAGGGUGGAAUUGUGAUUAUGUGCCUUAUAGGAAAAAUCCUAAACUUAGUUUAGGAGGUUUUCCUUGUUCUUGUUUCCUAACAACAAAAUUGAGCUUGAUGAUUAAUCGACGUCAAAAAUAGUUCAAAAAUAUUAUGAUCAUAUUAUAUUUAAUGCAUAAUGAUGCUUAAAAUGACUUGUAUGUGAUGCAUGUAACCUAGGUAAUUUUAAGAUUGCCUAAUUUUUGCUUUCCUUGCACUUUGGCACCUUCAAGAUUGAAUGUUGAAACUGAAGGAUUGUUGAACUAAAACAUUAUAUUGUCUGUGUUGUUGAUUGGACCGGUUAAGGGAUCUUCUAUGUUGCACUUUGCGCUCUAUUUAUAGCUACACUAGUGCUUGCUACCUAAGUUUCAUGACUCCACAUUUUGCUUGUUCCUUGAGAUAAGGCAAUUGUUUGUGAAUGUUCUUUAACCUUAUCUCAAUUGCAAUCCCUUAUUGCACUUGCACAAACUAACUCACGUCCAAUAAUUUCUUUUGAAUGCAACUUCUUAUAAUGUAACUGCAUUACACUCUGAAGUUCCAUAAUUGUAUAUUGAAUAUUCCAGAAGUUGCUUUUCAAUUCACGUGUUCCUUAAGCUGUAUAUUGAAUUCCAUAAUAUGGAUCUUGGGUAAAUAGGUCAAUGGAUUUGGGUCAAGUUGCACUUGGAUUUGUAGGCAAAUAGAUUAUGGAUUUUGGAUCAUGAUUAUUGUGUUUAGUUUAUGGACUUGGUUGUACUUGGAAUUUCAAGUGAAACGAGUCAUGGAUUUAGGCUAUGGAUUAA
rnacentral:misc_RNA from 1 species